ACCUGGCUGGCUCAGUGGGUAGAGCAUGCGACUCUUGAUCUCAGUCAGGGUCAUGAGUUCAAGCCCCAUGUUGCGUG
rnacentral:tRNA from 1 species